GGGUUCUUAGCUCAGUUGGUUAGAGCGCUACCUUGACAUGGUAGAGGUCACAGGUUCGAUUCCUGUAGAACCCA
rnacentral:tRNA from 1 species